AGCGAACGCUGGCGGCAGGCUUAACACAUGCAAGUCGAGCGGGCCCUUCGGGGUCAGCGGCAGACGGGUGAGUAACACGUGGGAACGUACCCUUUGGUUCGGAAUAACGCUGGGAAACUAGCGCUAAUACCGGAUACGCCCUUUUGGGGAAAGGCUUGCUGCCGAAGGAUCGGCCCGCGUCUGAUUAGCUAGUUGGUGGGGUAAUGGCCUACCAAGGCGACGAUCAGUAGCUGGUCUGAGAGGAUGAUCAGCCACACUGGGACUGAGACACGGCCCAGACUCCUACGGGAGGCAGCAGUGGGGAAUAUUGGAAAAUGGGCGCAAGCCUGAUCCAGCCAUGCCGCGUGAGUGAUGAAGGCAUUAGGGUUGUAAAGCUCUUUUGUCCGGGACGAUAAUGACGGUACCGGAAGAAUAAGCCCCGGCUAACUUCGUG
rnacentral:rRNA from 1 species